AAGAUAUAGGAAGGUUUUGAACAUUGAGCACUUUGUGGUCCUAUACUAUUGUCAUUGUUAUUGUAUUGCUGCUGUGGUAUUUUUAAUGAUAUUAUAUUCCAGAUGUAUUUGUCAAUCCAUUGGAAGAGAAACAACAAAAAGUAGAAUAACAGAAGAAAUGAACCAUAACAGAACGAAACGGAAUGAAACACACACAAAUUAAAUGGUAGAACAAAAAAACACAAC
rnacentral:lncRNA from 1 species